rnacentral:tRNA from 1 species
UAUAUUUUGGUGUAAGGAGCACGGGAAUUUUUGAUGUUUCAUGGAAUAGUUCAAUUCUAUUAAAUAUAG